rnacentral:rRNA from 1 species
GGCGGGUGCGCAAGUCAGAUGUGAAAACUCAGGGCUCAACCCUGAGCCUGCAUUUGAAACUGUAAAACUGGAGUGCAGGAGAGGCAGGCGGAAUUCCUAGUGUAGCGGUGAAAUGCGUAGAUAUUAGGAGGAACACCAGUGGCGAAGGCGGCCUGCUGGACUGUAACUGACGUUGAGGCUCGAAGGCGUGGGGAGCAAACAGG